CCGGUCGCCGCCGCUGCUCCCUCGGCCAGCGACGAUAGCAGUCGCGCCUCCCCCUCGGUCACCGCCUCUCCUCAGCCCCUGUCCAUCUCUCCCUCUCCCGGCGCCCUCCCUCACCCCGCCGUCGCCGCGGCCGUGCCUCACCCUCAGUCGCCGCCCCUCAGCCCGCCGUCUAUCUCUCCCUCUCCCGGCGGCAGUCGUGGCCCUCUCUCUCACCGGACGGCGAGGCCGCUAUUUCCAUUGCCGGACACCGCGCUGAUGCCCCUCACCCUGCCUGUCUCCACCGCCGCUCCCUCGGUCCACUGUCCCCGCCGCGCCUCCCCCCGGUCGUCGCCCCUCAGCCCACCACGGACUGCCACGCCUCUACCCCAGCGAGGAGCAGCAGCGACCCUCUCUCUCACCGGACGCUGUGCCCGCUUGUCUCCCUCACCGGACGCCGCCGCGCUCGCUUUCUCUGGACUCCAGGCCCGCUGCUCCCUCUGCCCCAAAUUUCAGAGAAAAUAUUGCCCACGUAUUUGUUUAGUUGCUUUCCUUUGCUGAGAGACUUGGAAGACCCCUAAAAUGUACUGUAUCCCCCAGUUCAGAUGAGCACUAAAAGAAGAGACAGAAAAGAAAAGACCAAGAGACUGCUGCCUGUCAAGAAAUGGAGGAGAUCAAAUUCAAGGAACCAUUGUUGGAUGGAAAGUUCUGAGAGAGAUGGCAUCUGGAGGGCGUGACUGUGAGCAUGUGAGGCUAAAGUUGGCAAUUGUAGUGGAGGUGAUAUAUCAUCUGUCUUCCUUCUAUCUGCACUGAGUAGCAAAGCUGGAGAUGAGAAGAAGACUGGUGGCAAUUCAUAGGGACAAUAUUUGCCCGCAAAAAGUGAACAACGAUCUAGACAAGGGUUGUAUCCAGCAAAGCCAAACAGUUCUAAGAAAUGGUUCUGCUGCAUGCAACCUACUGCUGCUGAAUCUUGAAGAUCAUGGGCUUAUUAUUGGAUUGAGGAAGCGGCUACCUUGUUAAAAUCUCAAAAAGCUCCACGAUAUCCAUGGGAACUUGUUAGCAAAUCUGCAGGUAUACUUAUGAUGCACUGAAGUGUUAUGCACCAGGAAUGGUUGAAGUUCUCAUUGUCAUUGAUAGUGUGCAGAACUCAGCAUUUUUAGAAUGAGAGAUCCAGAAGAUAAAGUCUGGAAUAUCUGAAGUUUGAGAGAAUUUUGUGUACUGCGUUGACGCGCUUGCUGUGGCGGUACUCGUCAAGAAGAUGUUCCGCGUGUCCGACACGGUCACCGAGCUCGUCGUGUCCUCCCACCGAGCUUGCGUGUCCUCGCUCCACUGCAUCUGCAAGAAAUGCAGCGACGACGUGGAGUUUCCGGCGACGGCUGCGGCGAGGCAGGUCACCGUGGUCGAGGCGGUCCAGGUGGGCGUGUUCCAGAAUGUGAUGAUGCUGCUGCAGGUUGGGUGCAGGGAGGCAACAAAGGAGAAGGCGACCGUGCUGCUCAAGUUGAUGAUCAAGUAUGAAUCCAGAGGAAACUGUAUUGAUGCCAUGGAUUUCAGAGGGCUCAAGAGGGUUUCUUGAACCGAAGCAAAAACUAAAUUGUAAUUAUGAGAAUAUGUCUUAGAAUAGGUCCAUAUAUACACAUGGUACAUCAUGCAAGAAUUUUAGUUAGGAAAUGUACAGAUGUUAAGGAUGUUUUGUCUUUAUAAACAUUUUUGAUUUGCUUGAUAUUAUAUUGUGGUCUAAA